rnacentral:rRNA from 1 species
GCCUUACACAUGCAAGUCGAACGGUAACAGGUUAAGCUGACGAGUGGCGAACGGGUGAGUAAAAUAUCGGAACGUGCCCAAUCGUGGGGGAUAACGCAGCGAAAGUUGUGCUAAUACCGCAUACGAUCUACGGAUGAAAGCGGGGGAUCGCAAGACCUCGCGCGAGUGGAGCGGCCGAUAUCAGAUUAGGUAGUUGGUGAGGUAAAGGCUCACCAAGCCGACGAUCUGUAGCUGGUCUGAGAGGACGACCAGCCACACUGGGACUGAGACACGGCCCAGACUCCUACGGGAGGCAGCAGUGGGGAAUUUUGGACAAUGGGCGCAAGCCUGAUCCAGCAAUGCCGCGUGCAGGAUGAAGGCCUUCGGGUUGUAAACGUGCUUUUGUACGGAACGAAACGGUGAGUGCGUAAUACCAUUUGCUAAUGACGGUACUAAGAAUAAGCACCGGCUAACUACGUGCCAGCAGCC